rnacentral:rRNA from 1 species
CUGGUUUCUAGUGGCGGACGGGUGAGUAACGCGUGGGUAACCUGCCUUAUACAGGGGGAUAACAACCAGAAAUGGUUGCUAAUACCGCAUAAGCGCACAGGACCGCAUGGUCCGGUGUGAAAAACUCCGGUGGUAUAAGAUGGACCCGCGUUGGAUUAGCUAGUUGGCAGGGUAACGGCCUACCAAGGCGACGAUCCAUAGCCGGCCUGAGAGGGUGAACGGCCACAUUGGGACUGAGACACGGCCCAA